GAUAAACACCAAGACUGCCGUACGAAAUAGUAUUCCACAGCUGCAACAACAAUGACGAAAACAUAAAACAACUUACAAUGGACAAUUACUCACAUAUCAACUCAGAUCUCGGGGCCUAGAUACAUCACAUAAGGGUUUCGGCAGUGUCUUAUCAAAUAAGCGAUUUUUACCUUAACACUGGUAUCAUCGGAGCAGGAAGCAACUUUACUUCCAUCAGAAGAGUAGCAACACCAUCUGACUAUGUCCGUGUGUCCAGUGAAUGUCAGUCUCUCAGUGCCACUUUUACUGUCCCAUAUCUAUAUGAAUCAGAUAAUUUUGUCAGCUGAACAAGAAACGACAUUUCCAUCACRAGGAGAGAAAGCACAGCAGAACACAUCUUGCCGAUGACCAGUGAAACAAAGCAAUUCUUCUCCAUUCAAACUGUCCCAAAUCUGUAAAAAACAAUGAUGACAAUGCUUAUGAAAUAGAGCUUUAAAGAUCCAACAUCUUCUCAAUAAAAAAAAUUCAAGAAACAUUCAACCAGGACUGCUUUUUUUUUCAUUUUGGCAAAGGAAGUAAUUUCAUUCAACUGAAGACAGACUAACAACUGUAUUCAAGAUAUUUAUAUAUCAUGAAAAAAGUAAAAAAAAGCAUCUGAAACUUUUCUUGGUAACAAACUUUCUCCCUCCAAAAGUUCAGCAAGAUGUGGAUAAGGUUCUUCUAAAG